rnacentral:misc_RNA from 1 species
UUUACAAAUCUUCACAGAUCUGAAACUGAUAUUGCGUCAGAAGGGACACCGAUGAUCAGUAGUAGCAGCCUCAAUGGUAUCGGAAGCCCUGAUAUGGGAAAGCAGGGAAAACAAGCUCCUAUGCUUCACGGUAUACCAGAUUUUGCUGAAGUUUAUGGCUUCAUUGGUAGCGUUUUUGACCCAGACAGUAAAGAACAUGUGAAUAAACUCAAGGAGAUGGAUCCUAUCAACUUCGAAACAGUUUUGUUGUUGAUGAGAAACCUCAGUUGUAACUUGUCCAGCCCUG